rnacentral:rRNA from 1 species
UACAGAGGGUGCAAGCGUUACUCGGAAUUACUGGGCGUAAAGCGCACGUAGGCGGUUUUUUAAGUCAGAUGUGAAAGCCCCGGGCUCAACCUGGGAAUUGCAUUUGAAACUGGGAAACUAGAGUGUGUGAGAGGGGGGUAGAAUUCCAAGUGUAGCGGUGAAAUGCGUAGAGAUUUGGAGGAAUACCAGUGGCGAAGGCGGCCCCCUGGCACAACACUGACGCUGAGGUGCGAAAGCGUGGGGAGCAAACAGG